rnacentral:tRNA from 1 species
GCGCGCUUAGCUCAGCGGCAGAGCGACUCGUUUACACCGAGUAGGUCCGGGGUUCAAUCCCUCGAGCGCGCA